GGGUUGUGAGGUUAAGCGACUAAGCGUACACGGUGGAUGCCCUGGCAGUCAGAGGCGAUGAAGGACGUGCUAAUCUGCGAAAAGCGUCGGUAAGGUGAUAUGAACCGUUAUAACCGGCGAUGUCCGAAUGGGGAAACCCAGUGCAAUUCGUUGCACUAUCGUUAACUGAAUACAUAGGUUAACGAGGCGAACCGGGGGAACUGAAACAUCUAAGUACCCCGAGGAAAAGAAAUCAACCGAGAUUCCCCCAGUAGCGGCGAGCGAACGGGGAGCAGCCCAGAGUCUGAAUCAGCUUGUGUGUUAGUGGAACGGUCUGGAAAGUCCGACGGUACAGGGUGAUAGUCCCGUACACCAAAAUGCACAGGCUGUGAACUCGAAGAGUAGGGCGGGACACGUGGUAUCCUGUCUGAAUAUGGGGGGACCAUCCUCCAAGGCUAAAUACUCCUGACUGACCGAUAGUGAACCAGUACCGUGAGGGAAAGGCGAAAAGAACCCCGGCGAGGGGAGUGAAAAAGAACCUGAAACCGUGUACGUACAAGCAGUGGGAGCACCUUCGGGUGUGACUGCGUACCUUUUGUAUAAUGGGUCAGCGACUUAUAUUCUGUAGCAAGGUUAACCGUAUAGGGGAGCCGCAGGGAAACCGAGUCUUAACUGGGCGUUAAGUUGCAGGGUAUAGACCCGAAACCCGGUGAUCUAGCCAUGGGCAGGUUGAAGGUUGGGUAACACUAACUGGAGGACCGAACCGACUAAUGUUGAAAAAUUAGCGGAUGACUUGUGGCUGGGGGUGAAAGGCCAAUCAAACCGGGAGAUAGCUGGUUCUCCCCGAAAGCUAUUUAGGUAGCGCCUCGUGAACUCAUCUUCGGGGGUAGAGCACUGUUUCGGCUAGGGGGUCAUCCCGACUUACCAACCCGAUGCAAACUACGAAUACCGAAGAAUGUUAUCACGGGAGACACACGGCGGGUGCUAACGUCCGUCGUGAAGAGGGAAACAACCCAGACCGCCAGCUAAGGUCCCAAAGUCAUGGUUAAGUGGGAAACGAUGUGGGAAGGCACAGACAGCCAGGAUGUUGGCUUAGAAGCAGCCAUCAUUUAAAGAAAGCGUAAUAGCUCACUGGUCGAGUCGGCCUGCGCGGAAGAUGUAACGGGGCUAAACCAUGCACCGAAGCUGCGGCAGCGACACUAUGUGUUGUUGGGUAGGGGAGCGUUCUGUAAGCCUGCGAAGGUGACCUGUGAGGGUUGCUGGAGGUAUCAGAAGUGCGAAUGCUGACAUAAGUAACGAUAAAGCGGGUGAAAAGCCCGCUCGCCGGAAGACCAAGGGUUCCUGUCCAACGUUAAUCGGGGCAGGGUGAGUCGACCCCUAAGGCGAGGCCGAAAGGCGUAGUCGAUGGGAAACAGGUUAAUAUUCCUGUACUUGGUGUUACUGCGAAGGGGGGACGGAGAAGGCUAUGUUAGCCGGGCGACGGUUGUCCCGGUUUAAGCAUGUAGGCUGAUUGUCCAGGCAAAUCCGGAUAAUCAAGGCUGAGGUGUGAUGACGAGGCACUACGGUGCUGAAGUAACAAAUGCCCUGCUUCCAGGAAAAGCCUCUAAGCAUCAGGUAACAUUAAAUCGUACCCCAAACCGACACAGGUGGUCAGGUAGAGAAUACCAAGGCGCUUGAGAGAACUCGGGUGAAGGAACUAGGCAAAAUGGUGCCGUAACUUCGGGAGAAGGCACGCUGGUGUGUAGGUGAAGCCCCCGCGGGUGGAGCUGAGACCAGUCGAAGAUACCAGCUGGCUGCAACUGUUUAUUAAAAACACAGCACUGUGCAAACACGAAAGUGGACGUAUACGGUGUGACGCCUGCCCGGUGCCGGAAGGUUAAUUGAUGGGGUUAUCCGUAAGGAGAAGCUCUUGAUCGAAGCCCCGGUAAACGGCGGCCGUAACUAUAACGGUCCUAAGGUAGCGAAAUUCCUUGUCGGGUAAGUUCCGACCUGCACGAAUGGCGUAAUGAUGGCCAGGCUGUCUCCACCCGAGACUCAGUGAAAUUGAACUCGCUGUGAAGAUGCAGUGUACCCGCGGCAAGACGGAAAGACCCCGUGAACCUUUACUAUAGCUUGACACUGAACAUUGAGCCUUGAUGUGUAGGAUAGGUGGGAGGCUUUGAAGCGUGGACGCCAGUCUGCGUGGAGCCAACCUUGAAAUACCACCCUUUAAUGUUUGAUGUUCUAACGUUGGCCCCUGACCGGGGUUGCGGACAGUGUCUGGUGGGUAGUUUGACUGGGGCGGUCUCCUCCCAAAGCGUAACGGAGGAGCACGAAGGUUAGCUAAUCCUGGUCGGACAUCAGGAGGUUAGUGCAAUGGCAUAAGCUAGCUUGACUGCGAGCGUGACGGCGCGAGCAGGUGCGAAAGCAGGUCAUAGUGAUCCGGUGGUUCUGAAUGGAAGGGCCAUCGCUCAACGGAUAAAAGGUACUCCGGGGAUAACAGGCUGAUACCGCCCAAGAGUUCAUAUCGACGGCGGUGUUUGGCACCUCGAUGUCGGCUCAUCACAUCCUGGGGCUGAAGUAGGUCCCAAGGGUAUGGCUGUUCGCCAUUUAAAGUGGUACGCGAGCUGGGUUUAGAACGUCGUGAGACAGUUCGGUCCCUAUCUGCCGUGGGCGCUGGAGAAUUGAGGGGGGCUGCUCCUAGUACGAGAGGACCGGAGUGGACGCAUCACUGGUGUUCGGGUUGUCAUGCCAAUGGCACUGCCCGGUAGCUAAAUGCGGAAGAGAUAAGUGCUGAAAGCAUCUAAGCACGAAACUUGCCCCGAGAUGAGUUCUCCCUGAGACUUUAAGUCUCCUGAAGGAACGUUGAAGACGACGACGUUGAUAGGCCGGGUGUGUAAGCGCAGCGAUGCGUUGAGCUAACCGGUACUAAUGAACCGUGAGGCUUAACCUUACAACGCCGAAG
rnacentral:rRNA from 1 species